GAAAUGCGCUAAGUAGUGUGAAUUGCAGAAUUCAGUGAAUCAUCGAAUCUUUGAACGCACAUUGCGCCCUUUGGUAUUCCAAAGGGCAUGCCUGUUCGAGCGUCAUUUGUACCCUCAAGCUUUGCUUGGUGUUGGGCGUCUUGUCUCUAGCUUUGCUGGAGACUCGCCUUAAAGUAAUUGGCAGCCGGCCUACUGGUUUCGGAGCGCAGCACAAGUCGCACUCUCUAUCAGCAAAGGUCUAGCAUCCAUUAAGCCUUUUUUUCAACUUUUGACCUCGGAUCAGGUAGGGAUACCCGCUGAACUUAAGC
rnacentral:misc_RNA from 1 species